rnacentral:rRNA from 1 species
ACGCACGCUGGCGGCAUGCCUAACCCCUGCAAGUCGCACGCGACCUUCGGGUCUAGUGGCGCACGGGUGCGUCACGCGUGGGAACCUGCCCUUAGGUUCGGAAUAACUCCCCGAAAGGGGUGCUAAUACCGGAUAAUGUCUUCGGACCAAAGAUUUAUCGCCUUUGGAUGGGCCCGCGUUGGAUUAGCUAGUUGGUAGGGUAAAAGCCUACCAAGGCGACGAUCCAUAGCUGGUCUGAGAGGAUGAUCAGCCACACUGGGACUGAGACACGGCCCAGACUCCUACGGGAGGCAGCAGUGGGGAAUAUUGGACAAUGGGCGAAAGCCUGAUCCAGCAAUGCCGCGUGAGUGAUGAAGGCCUUAGGGUUGUAAAGCUCUUUUACCCGGGAUGAUAAUGACAGUACCAGGAGAAUAAGCUCCGGCUAACUCCGUG